AAUCCAUUUCCCCCAGAGUCAGCCACUUAGUCAAAGCCAUGACACCAUUUUGCAGCCAGGAUAUUUUCUCCCCUGGCUAAUGGCUGAAAGCUGAGUUGAAGGAACUCUGGAGGGAACGUGGCUUCACCACAGAAAUGGAGAGAAGAGGGUUUCUGUGGAGCUUGUCCAGUGUAUUUUUGAUUGUAUCAAAAUUUCACCUGACACUGGGAGCUGUUACCCCAGUGCCUGCUGCAGCUCGUCCUGGUAAUCACUGACCUCAGCCAUUGGCUUCACCUGCUCCAAGUGAGACACAUGUGGAGAUUUGCCUGAUUUUCCACUGCACUGGGUGUGACCCCAGCUCAAAGCAGUCAGGGUGGUUGUGCUUUCCAGCCAAGGAGUGCACGUGGUGGAGCUACUGAGCAGGCUUGAGAGCAUCCUGGAGAGGAAAGCAGAAAUGGGGAAGAUGCUGGAAAAGUGCUGAAAUGGUCAAGACAGUUCUUAGAAGGUCUGUUUCAUUAUUGUGAGGCAUGUGAGUGACAGCAAUGUGUUGUGUGGGGGUUUAUAUAUAUAUGUGUGUGUGUGUAUAUAUAUCUGUAUGUAUGCACAUGUAUUAUCCUCAUUACAUAACACUGCAGCUCCAAGGAGUCAGGACUGAAUUUGCAUAGGAAAAAGCCAAAACCCACUGCCUUUGCAUUACCUAGAGAAAAGCCCGACAGGACAAGCCUCAACAACAAACACAGACAAUGUGCCAUCCCUGAUGGUUCCAGUUCUGUGAAAUCUCUGAGCACACAGGCACUGGGCUGGUUUGUGGUGAUGCCCACACGUGCACAGAGAGCACCCAGCAGCGAUGCAGAGUGGAGCCUCUGAGCGCAGCAGUGACACUGGAGAGGCUCCACAAGAGCUGACCCUGGCCCAGGCUGGUGCUCAGAGAAAGCCCUGCAGCUCAGCCCACUCGCUGCUAUCAGCUGGCUGCUCCAGCAGAGCUGCUGCUGAGGGAACAGCAGAGCCCCACGGCCCUGAGGAGCGCUGGGCUCACAAGCAGCAGCUCAUGCCACCCCAACAACUGACCCUUCUGAAGGGACUCUGGUCAAUGCAGCCCCUUCUUGAUCUUGAGCAUGGAUUUUUAGUGUCUGUGGUACCUGCUGAAGAAGCAGAGGCACUGGCCUCUUACUUCUCCUUCUGGAGCCAUUUUAAGCAUAGGCAGCUUCUUGAGGCUGACCAAGAAAGCUUCCAAAGGUGAGUUUAGAUCCACGUUAUCUUUCCUGGGAUUGACAAGGUAUUCAAAGACUGAACACCAGCAGCAACCUGAGGGAAAAUACUGCUUACUUUCCUCUUGCUCUUUGUAGGACUUGGUAAAUCCUUCUUUCCUAGAGAAUUAAUCUUGCCUUUCUUAGUCCUGCUGAGGACACAGGGCUCAGUGCUCUUUCUGCCUGAAGAACUGUGACAAAAUCCAAAUUCUUGCUCUGCUCUCAUCAGUCCUGUAGGAACAAAUCAGAUUUUGCCCGAUCCUAUGUUUCCCAUUCAACUUCUUAUACAACAAAGGAAAGUGUUAAUUCCUUUCAUGAAGGGGGGUUUGAGCAGUUCUGGCACGUCCUGCUGCAGAUGGGCAAUCCCCAGAGAGGACUUUGUCAGGCAGGGAUGGGCCAGAUUGCUUGGAGCCCAGUUCUCAUAACUGGCCCAGCUCCCUUUAGUGAGGGGUCUAGCAACCCCCAUCACACACUUGGCCAGAGAAAUAAGAUUCCCAUGCUCCUGCUUUUGUAGGGUUUGGAUUUUCCUGCAACAAGGUCUAUCUGUAGUUCCUGCUGGUGCUUCAGCCGUUGCCAUAGCAUAACCCAGGGACAUUCACAUGGAAGUACACAAGAAAUGAGCAGAAAGCAGAGCCUUUGAUCAAAUGAGACAUUUCUAUGCUUUUAAAUGGAGAUAGGAGCCUUAUAAAGGAAUGACUGGAUAUGUGUAAUUCAUUACUAUUAUUUCAUAACCACAAUAAUCUUGAGAUUCCUAUGGGUUUGCACCAAAAAGCCUAGAGAGUGAUAAUCCAGUGUUUGAGCUCUGAAUACAGGUAUUGCUCACAGGGAAUAAACUCCUGGCAGGAACACUUCAAUAAACUCUAUCAUCAAGCUGAAUGAUACUUUAAAAUAAUUGUUUAACUUUUACUAACAGCCAUUAUUACUUUAAUGAAGUUUCCCAGGAUGCUUUAAACCAAGAGAGAAUGUUUGCAGUCCUGUGCAUAGAGACACCACACAUUACAUAUUCAACAGGAAAGGUCUGGCAGAGGAGCCCUUUUGUUUAUUCUUAUUUCCUUUUAACCAAUGCUAAACUGAGCUCCUAGUCUCAUGCUGUUAAGCCCCACACUUCAGUAUAGCUGAAGCUUCCCUUGGCAAAUAACUGAGCAGCAAUUUAACCCAGUGAGCCUCACCUUAGUGAGCUGGAUUUGCUGCCAAAGAGAGCUGGCCUGCUUUUCUUUUUUAGGUUUUUUUUUCCCCCCCUUUCCCCCACCCAAGUCUAUUCAAAUAGUUUCUUUUGCAGCAAUCUGUUCUCUUCCUCUGGGCCUGAUGCUGUUGCUGAGGUCCCCUUGGCAUGGAGCUCUUCAGCUUCUGCUCAUCUGCAUUUCUUCAGCCCCUGCCAGCCUUGGUCCCUCCCUCCCCACUGGUCUCUCAGGGCUUGUUCCAGGAGCAGCUGUCUGUCCUUCCUCCAUGCCUAAAGCCAGAAGGUGCUUUGCCACGUGCCACUUUUCAGUAUUUUCUCCCCAAAUACUCCCAUGCUUACAGAGAAAGCACACGCAGCAGCUUUAGCUUUUUGGCUGCGUAACAACCAAUGCAAAACACGUCUGCGAUAAAAUUGCAUUUUCUCAUGGUAAAUGGGCUCCCCAGUGAACCUCUCAGACUCCCCACUGUCUGAGCUCUCAUUAAGUCCAGCCCAGUGGUGGUAGGGUAAUGUUGCUUCAGUGGACAUUUAUUUGACUUUAAUAUACACCAAAUUGCUUGUGGAAAGCUUUUGUCAAAAAGUAAAACUCCAGAUCCCAGAACUCUGUCUCUUAUCUAGUGAGAGAUUGCCUAUAAAUCCAAGUAGCAUGUUGGAGAUUGCAAAAUCUCUGACAAAUGGAGAGUGGGGUAAAAAUAAGAAAGUCAGCUGUCAUUGUGUGUGUUCUGGUCCCAUGUUCAUGCUCGUGGCUGGCUGAUGCAAUUUCUUCUUGGAACUCACACAAAGGAUCCAUCCCAAGACAGCAGCUGAAGAAGGAUUUGUAUCCAGUGACUUUUGGUUCAGUGAGACCAUUAAUGCUCUGAACACAAGUCUAUAAAUGUGAUGAUAUGCCACGGUUUAUUCAGGGCAGCUCUGAGUUUCUUAAUCAAGAUGGUUAUAAUAAUGAUACUGCUUUGGAAACUGGUCAAAUGGAACCUGAUAAAUCUCCUUAACAAUCUGAUGGGUAUGGUUUGUAAAAUUCUAGAGAUGCUUGACAACUGCACAGCAGUCUGCAUUGUCCCAGAAUAAAACUUGGUCCAACACUAUAAAAAGAAUGUAGCAUAUUUCAAUAUUCUAAAAGUGUACACUUGGAUGUCUUAGUUUGGCCAUUCCUGUAAUGGCCUCUUCUAAUACAAUUUAAUUGCUUUCUUAUUUUACAUUUACCCAUACAAGUUCUUUAUUUUACAAUCAAUGAAACUAUAUGCAUUUGGAGGCAGCUUUUUUCCUUCAUUUUCUUUUCAAAGAGAAAUUUACAAAAAUUUAAAUAUAUGGCCAAGAUGUUGUAGUAAGAAAAAGUUAUCUGCUCAGAUAAGCUAUAGAAAACCAAAUGUUUAAAGAAAAUACUUGCCUUUUUUAUUCACAAAGGUGAAGAAAAUACUGUCUUGUGGAGGAAUAUUUGCUGUAUGGGGAUUUGCCUCUGAAAUAGCUGGGGAUCUCAAAGGUUGCAUAUGAACAAGAUUUAGGACUCCAUUCUACUUCCCUUUGCAUAGAUAAGAAUUAUUUUGCUAUAUUGAGAGUUUCAUGAAAGAAAGUCUUUGCUGAUGUAAGUGAUAAUGGCCUAAAGUGGCCAAAUAAAAUGAUGAUGUCACAUA